UGCAAGAAGGUACCAGCAUGCUGGACUUCCUGGUUCCUAUUUCGAGGUCUUCAAACCUAGGGUUCUAGAACAUUCACUGUGGGUAUUCAGCAGGCCUUGUGCCCCUCACUUGCGUGUCGCAGAUGUUUAGAUCUACAGGUGCUGCACCUGAUGUGGAGCAGACAUGGGGCUCCCUGAGCUCCUUCCUUUUUCAGGGCAAAGGGAGGGGCUUUGUCUUGGGGUGGGGGAAGCCAGGGUCAAGCCCACCCAUUUCUCGUCAGUCCUCCAGCUCUGCAGGAGGUAGCAGGCUCUGUCUUCGGAAGGAACAGAUGGUAAAUGUCCAGGUUUUGAGUGCCAGGUUUUGUGGCCGUUACUUCCGCUGCCAUGCCAGCGCGAGAGCAGCCAAAGAUGAUGCGCUGGUCCCCGAGCCCACACUGGAUUCCACUCAGGGUUUCCAGCAGCCGGCAGUGGCGGCCCGGUCUGCAGCUGGAGUUUGCCAGCCCCUGCCCUGGUCCAGUAGGGAUAAGACCACAGAGCCAGAGGGUCCACUCAUCUCACAAGAGUAAGUGGGGGGGGGAGGCAUUUGUCUAGGGCCCAGAAAAAAGGGGUGAAUCCCAGAGAGACAGGAGUGGGGAACACAGCACUCCAUGGGAAGCAGCUCAUUGAUCAUUAUCACUUAUUGUUAAUAGAGUUUCAACGGUCACAUUAUCCAUUCCAGGCUGGCCUUAGAAUCACUUUGUAGCCCAGGUUGGCCUUGAAUGCUGAGCGAUCCUCCUGCCUCAUCCUCCUGGGUGCUGGGAUGACAGAUGUGCACCACCACACCUGGCCUUUUUGUGAAUUUUUUUUUUUUUUUUUUUGUACCAGGGAUUGAAUUUAUGACCCUCUGCUUGCCACAAAGGCGCUUGUGCCAGUGAGCUAAGUCUCUGGCCCUUUUUUUAUGAUUUUGAGACAGGGUCAUACUGUGUAGUCCAGAGCUGACCUCUAAGAAAGCUGUGGACCCUAAGCUGCCAUCAAACUCAUGGCAGUUCUCCUGCCUCAGCCUAUGGCCGACUAGGGUUAUGUAUAGGUACAUAAUACGUGUUCUAAAAUAGAGAAAAUGGACAGUGGACGCCAUGCCUGCUGCCCGCCUGAAAGUUAAGUACUCACAGCCCAUCUGGUUUGUGUGUGAUCCCUCACUCUGUCCCUCAGAAGCCAGAAGCAGAUUCCGGAAGUCGUAGUACUGGGCAGCGAGGUGAGUGGCUGCCAGCAGACACCAGACUGAGCACUUCCUGAAGGUGGGCAAGCCCAGCCGGCUCCACAUGGGACCUUUCUGUCUUGGUUCUGUCUCUUUCAGCCUGCAGUUGCACUUUGCUACUGUUGCCUUAACUGGUAAAUUUCAGGAUUCUUCUGAGGGAGAUGGGGCUCCUACCAAUCCUCAGAAACUGUUCCAGAGCUCAGUGGCUGCCCAGGCUUUUGGCAAACAAAUAAGCCAUUCAGAAAUCCCAGAACCCUUAGAGAACUGUGUUACACUCCACUGGGGGUGAUCUGGAUAGGGCGUUUGAUUCAGAUGGUAUUGUCUCCUGGUCACAAGUGCUGCCAGAUAAUGGCUGCCAAAGUCACCUCCCUUGUCCCUGUCCUGAUAAAGGCCCACAGAGGACUAAAUGGAGGACUUGGAAUUGAAGCUGUAUCGGCCUUUGUGGGUCUGUCUGUAAGGGACUGUCCCUUGUCAUUGCAGAUUUUGUCUGAGACAGGCUCUCUCUUUUUUUUUUUGCCUUUCUCUUUUUAUCGGUACCAGGGAUUGAACUCACGACCACCUGCUUGCAAGGCAGGCGCUUAUGCCGCUGAGCUAAAUCCCCAGCCCCAAGAUAGGCUGUCUCUUUAUAGUCCAAAGAGAGGCUGACCUUGAACUCUCCAAAAUCCUCCUGCCUCAGCCUCCUGAGUGCUGGGAUUACAAACCUAUGCCACCACAGUUUGUCCUCAGACUUCUCAGGCCAAACUCUUCACAAACAGGAUUCUUUUACAACCUUAUUCCAAGUAUUACUAUUUGAUCCCAGCCACAGUGACACCAAAUGAAUGGAGCAAGUUUGUACGAACCAUUUCCAGUUCAAGAAGUUGCUCCCUUCGCAGGUGGUGGCACUGAGCGAGACUAAACUCACUCGUUAGGCCUCAGACCCUGUGUCUCUCCACGGACACUGUAGAGUGUGCACCAGGCCAGCAGCAAGCACCACAUGGGAACUUGCUAAAAGGCAGAUUCCAGAGCCGCCCUGCUGACCUUGUGGACAGGAACCUGGAUGUAGCAGUCAGGAUUGUAUUUUAACUCCUUUUCCAGCUAGAGUCACAGAACAGAUGGCGCCCUCUGCACUGCUGCUGAGCAGCGCUUUGGUCACCGCUCCCAGUCUGUAGGUUCAGCCUCUUAUUCCUACUCAGCCAAAGCCUGGCUUUCAGAGCCCUUCUUGGGGGCAGAACAGCGAGUCUGGCUGACAUCCGGGCAGGGCACAUGGGAAAUAGACCCCAUCUAGCUUUCAAGAAAGGAAGAAGCCGUGGAGUCGGACAAGCACUGUAAGACCGACUGGCAUAGUUCUUGGUAUGGUGUCCAGAGUCAGGUGUUUUCAUCCUUACUCCAGUUAGGUGGAUUAGCUCAAGACAGCGUCCCUAUCCGGGUACACAGUCUGUAAGCCAUUUGGAAAUGGCGGUGCCCUGGUUGGCAGAUGCACUCCAAGGCUGCGUCUUGCAAAGGGACCUGGAGGAAAGUUGCUUCGUUUCCUCUGGUGGGCAUUGGGCCAUGUAACGCCUAACACUGCCUCCCAAAACCUCGCAAUCCCCUUUGCGUUCCAGCCACAGGUGCCAUCCUUGGGCUUAGGAAGGGAUCCCGGCCCGCCCAGCCUGCAGGGGGCGCGCGCUGUGGAGCCGCUGCGUCCUCUCGAGCCCUUUGCAGCGCCGCGGGGACCGCCGGGAGCGCGAUGGCGGCCGCCAGGAGGCUCAUGGCGCUAGCUGCCGGCGUCUCUCCGCGCCUGCGGCCGCCGGAUCCCCACGCUGUCCGGCGCCAGGGACGCUCGCGCGGCCUCUCCUCCAGCUUCGCCCGCCCCAACUGCGCCAAGGAGGCGGCCGAGCCAGGGGCGGAACCCGGGGAGGGCGACGGGAGCAUGGUGAACGCUUCUAGGGACCUAUUAAAAGAGUUUCCACAGCCCAAAAAUCUUCUCAACAGUGUGAUUGGAAGAGCCCUCGGCAUUUCACACGCCAAAGACAAACUAGUCUAUGUGCACACGAAUGGACCGAAGAAAAAGAAGGUCACCUUGCACAUAAAGUGGCCCAAAAGCGUGGAGGUAGAAGGCUAUGGUAGCAAGAAGAUCGAUGCCGAGCGGCAGGCUGCAGCUGCGGCCUGCCAGCUGUUCAAGGGCUGGGGGCUGCUGGGUCCCCGAAAUGAACUGUUUGAUGCAGCCAAAUACCGCGUGCUUGCUGACCGCUUCGGCUCCCCAGCGGACAGCUGGUGGCGUCCAGAACCCACCAUGCCCACUACAUCAUGGCGGCAACUGAAUCCCGAGAGCAUACGGCCAGGGGGACCUGGGGGCCUGUCCCGUACCUUAGGCCGGGGAGAGGAGGAAGAGGACGAGGAGGAAGAGCUGGAGGAGGGGACCAUCGAUGUUACAGAAUUCCUAUCCAUGACGCAACAGGACUCCCACACGCCACUCCGUGACUCCAGGGGGGGUUCCUUUGAAAUGACAGAUGACGACAGUGCUGUGAGGGCCCUGACCCAGUUUCCACUUCCCAAGAACCUUCUGGCCAAGGUGAUUCAGAUCGCAACAUCGUCCUCCACAGCAAAGAACCUCAUGCAGUUCCACACUGUGGGGACCAAAACCAAGCUGUCCACGCUCACGCUGCUCUGGCCUUGUCCCAUGACAUUUGUGGCCAAAGGGCGCCGCAAAGCAGAGGCUGAGAAUAAGGCGGCAGCUCUGGCCUGUAAGAAACUGAAGAGCCUGGGCCUGGUGGACAGGAACAACGAGCCACUCACCCAUGCCAUGUACAACCUGGCCUCCUUGCGGGAGCUGGGUGAGACCCAGCGCCGGCCGUGCACCAUCCAGGUGCCAGAGCCCAUCCUCCGCAAGAUAGAGACCUUCCUGAACCACUACCCUGUGGAAAGUUCGUGGCUCUCACCCGAGCUCCGGCUGCAGAGCGAGGACAUCUUGCCCCUGGGCAAGGACUCGGGGCCGCUGAGCGACCCCAUCACCGGCAAGCCCUUCGUGCCCCUGAGCGAGGCCGAGGAGGUACGCCUGAGCCAGAGCCUGCUGGAGCUGUGGCGGCGGCGGGGCCCCAUCUGGCAGGAGGCACCGCAGCUCCCUGUGGACCCACACCGGGACACCAUCCUCAACGCCAUCGAGCAGCACCCCGUGGUGGUCAUUUCUGGGGACACAGGUUGCGGGAAGACUACGCGCAUCCCCCAGCUGCUGCUGGAGCGCUAUGUGACCGAGGGUCGCGGGGCCCACUGCAAUGUGAUCAUCACGCAGCCCCGCCGCAUUUCAGCUGUGUCCGUGGCACAGCGGGUCAGCCACGAACUGGGCCCUUCCUUGCGCCGGAAUGUGGGCUUCCAGGUGCGCCUGGAGAGCAAGCCGCCAGCGCGGGGCGGGGCGCUGCUCUUCUGCACUGUGGGCAUCCUACUGCGCAAGCUGCAGAGCAACCCCAGCCUGGAGGGCGUGAGCCACGUCAUCGUGGACGAGGUCCACGAGCGAGACGUGAACACGGACUUCCUGCUCAUCCUGCUCAAGGGCCUACAGCGGCUCAACCCCGCCCUGCGGCUGGUGCUCAUGAGUGCCACGGGUGACAAUGAGCGCUUCUCCCGCUACUUCGGUGGCUGCCCCGUCAUCAAGGUGCCUGGCUUCAUGUACCCCGUCAAGGAGCACUACCUGGAAGACAUCCUGGCCAAGCUGGGCAAGCAUCAGUACCCGCACCGGCACCGGCACCAUGAGUCUGAAGAUGAAUGUGCCCUCGAUUUGGACCUCGUGACGGACCUGGUUCUGCACAUCGAUGCCCACGGGGAGCCAGGUGGGAUCCUGUGCUUUCUGCCUGGGUGGCAGGAGAUCAAGGGAGUGCAGCAGCGCCUGCAGGAGGCCCUGGGCAUACAUGAGAGCAAGUACCUCAUCCUGCCAGUGCACUCCAACAUCCCCAUGAUGGACCAGAAGGCCAUAUUCCAGCAGCCUCCAGUUGGGGUGCGGAAGAUUGUCCUGGCCACGAACAUCGCGGAGACCUCUAUCACAGUCAACGACAUUGUGCACGUCGUGGACAGCGGUCUGCAUAAGGAGGAGCGCUAUGACCUCAAGACCAAGGUGUCCUGCCUGGAGACAGUGUGGGUGUCGAGAGCGAACGUGAUCCAGCGCCGAGGCCGAGCUGGCCGCUGCCAGUCAGGCUUUGCCUACCACUUGUUCCCGAGGAGCCGGCUGGAGAAGAUGGCUCCCUUCCAAGUGCCCGAGAUCCUGCGCACGCCCCUGGAGAACCUGGUGCUGCAGGCCAAGAUCCAUAUGCCUGAAAAGACGGCGGUAGAGUUCCUUUCCAAGGCCGUGGAUAGCCCCAACAUCAAGGCAGUGGACGAGGCGGUGAUCCUGCUCCAGGAGAUCGGGGUGCUGGACCAGCGUGAGUACCUGACCACCCUGGGCCAGCGCUUGGCCCACAUCUCCACGGACCCACGGCUGGCCAAGGCCAUCGUGUUGGCUGCCAUCUUCCGUUGCCUGCACCCACUGCUGGUGGUGGUCUCCUGCCUCACCCGGGACCCGUUCAGCAGCAGUCUGCAGAACCGGGCUGAGGUGGACAAGGUGAAGGCGAUCUUGAGCCACGACAGCGGCAGCGACCACUUGGCCUUUGUGCGUGCCGUGGCCGGCUGGGAGGAGGUGCUACGCUGGCAGGACCGCACGUCCCGGGAGAACUACCUGGAGGAAAACCUGCUGGCUCAUCAAGCAGUUCUCGGAAAACAUCUAUGAGGCCUUCCUGGUGGGGAAGCCCUCGGACUGCACACUGCCCUCGGCCCAGUGCAAUGAGUACAGUGAGGAGGAGGAGCUGGUGAAGGGCGUGCUCAUGGCCGGGCUUUACCCCAACCUCAUCCAGGUGAGGCAGGGCAAGGUGACUCGGCAGGGUAAGUUCAAGCCCAACAGCGUCACCUACAGGACCAAAUCCGGCAACAUCCUGCUGCACAAGUCAAC